CCCCGUUUGGUGGAAUUUGGUAGACACGUUAGACUCAAAAUCUGAUGAAGAAAUUCGUGCUGGUUCGAGUCCAGUAACGGGGACCA
rnacentral:tRNA from 1 species